rnacentral:misc_RNA from 1 species
AGUGAGGUCACUCGCCUCCAAAGGGAAUUACGUCUCAGGUCAGAGGAGGUCUACAGACUAAGGGGCGUAGAUAUCAAAGAUACCAGCUUUGCUCUCAGGGAAUUCACAGUUAAUUGCUAAAGGUGUUGCUAUGGCUACGUCAAAAGUUAGAUAGCAUGUUCUGAGAAUGAGCAACACAAAACUUUUUAUUUUAAGAAAAAAAAUGAAACAAUGGAUAAAACUGUUAAAACAGUUUUCUUUGUUUAUGUUCCUGUAUGUAUAAAGCUAGCAAGGCCUUAGCAGGUUUUUGUCAUAUUCUGCAUAACAAACUGCUUGGAUGACCAUAGGUAAAUGAGCCACCAUUGUUUUUAUAUACCUGUAUUUAUACAAUUCUACCACAACACACCU